GAUGAACGCUGGCGGCGUGCCUAAUACAUGCAAGUCGAGCGAACGGACGAGAAGCUUGCUUUUCUGAUGUUAGCGGCGGACGGGUGAGUAACACGUGGAUAACCUACCUAUAAGACUGGGAUAACUUCGGGAAACCGGAGCUAAUAUCGGAUAAUAUUUUGAACCGCAUGGUUCAAAAUUUAAAGACGGUCUUGCUGUCACUUAUAGAUGGAUCCGCGCUGCAUUAGCUAGUUGGUAAGGUAACGGCUUACCAAGGCAACGAUGCAUAGCCGACCUGAGAGGGUGAUCGGCCACACUGGAACUGAGACACGGUCCAGACUCCUACGGGAGGCAGCAGUAGGGAAUCUUCCGCAAUGGGCGAAAGCCUGACGGAGCAACGCCGCGUGAGUGAUGAAGGUCUUCGGAUCGUAAAACUCUGUUAUUAGGGAAGAACAUAUGUGUAAGUAACUGUGCACAUCUUGACGGUACCUAAUCAGAAAGCCACGGCUAACUACGUG
rnacentral:rRNA from 1 species